rnacentral:rRNA from 1 species
ACGUAGGUGGCAAGCGUUAUCCGGAUUUAUUGGGCGUAAAGAGAGUGCAGGCGGUUUUCUAAGUCUGAUGUGAAAGCCUUCGGCUUAACCGGAGAAGUGCAUCGGAAACUGGAUAACUUGAGUGCAGAAGAGGGUAGUGGAACUCCAUGUGUAGCGGUGGAAUGCGUAGAUAUAUGGAAGAACACCAGUGGCGAAGGCGGCUACCUGGUCUGCAACUGACGCUGAGACUCGAAAGCAUGGGUAGCGAACAGGAUUAGAAACCCCAGU